UCGUACAACUGAGGUGCGAGGGCUGUCGCUGACCCAAAAGGUCGUGCACGCCCGAGUGCUCUCACACAUCCAUCUCACCCCUAUGUGCACCACCGCGUGGGUCCUCCUCUAAGGGGGGCUUACGUUUUCACACAAACUUCGUAUGCAGUGUAGAAUGUAUUUUUGUUUUGCGAUCACGCAAUCAAUA
rnacentral:misc_RNA from 1 species